CGCGGGGUGGAGCAGUCUGGGCAGCUCGUCGGGCUCAUAACCCGAAGGUCGUAGGUUCAAAUCCUACCCCCGCAA
rnacentral:tRNA from 1 species